ensembl:rRNA 5S_rRNA 5S ribosomal RNA
AUCUACAGCCAUACUACCCUGAAUACACCUGAUCUCGGAAGCUAAACAGGGGCCUGGCUAGUACUUGGAUGGAAGAGGAAGAGAGAAAGGUAGAUACCUGCAGAAC